UCCCUCCAGUUUUCUUAUUUCCACUGAAUGUUGAAUUUCAAUGUCAAGUUAAUUCAAUAGGCGUCAGGAGCGUCAAUCUUGCACGCACUCCGACUCCUUCCAUAACUUUGUACACGGUGGACAUGCAAGCGCGUCAACCGGGACCGGAGCUCCGUUGUCGGUCGUCUACCCGAAUAAAGAUACCAGAUCGGUCACAGUGGAACUCCUGCGGAACGUGGUGCGCCUCACCUGCACGCGAAGUUAUUUGUUAUUUACGAGAUCGAUAACACGCCGAGAUAGCGUCAAAGCAUUAAAAGGCUGAUCAAGAAGGACAAGCGUGCGCUAUUGGAACAAAGUGCCGCUUCAAUUGCCCAUUUUUCAAGUUUGUACCACGCACAACCACGGACGAUGGGGAAAUUCCACUUCAGCACCGGCUUUUGGUAAUUCAUCAGCGAUGCAUUAUUAAUCACGAAAGGAUAAGGAAACUCUUUCAAUUAAGGUCAGGUAAGCUUGCACUUUAGAUAGACUAUAAUUUAUUUCAUUUGAGAAAAUGGACAACAAAGCGACAGAUUUACUAUACAUCUAUUGUAAACAAUUAAAGCGAUUUAAUUAUCUUUCGCAACCAGACAAAAAAAGCAUUUUAAUAUCACUAAGAUGCAGAUCUAUAUUGAUUAAAUAUAAUGUUUUGAUUUGUGACGUUUUGGAUGUAAGUAAAAAGUAAAGGUUUUGUGUGUGUGGAUAUGAGUGUGUUAUGGUCACAUCUAAGAUGACGUAUUGAUGAUCAGAUUCAGUACUGCGUUUAUUAUGGCUAAAAGACAACAACGUUACGUUACGUUACGUUAAGGUCACGAUCGAGUGCACCCUAGCCCCCAUUCACACUCCAUCAUAAAGAGCAUAUAUUUUGGACUUUUGAACAUACACAAAUCUUCUUCGAGAUCACAUUUACUGUUUUAUUUUCUAUUGGUCACGUGUUAGUGUUAUAAGGAGUCAAUAAUUUGCACUAUAUAUAUACGCACACAAAAGUGCGUGCGUGUGUGUGUGUGUGUGUACUCGAUGCUUCGUUAGGGCCACAUCACUGCCAUCGUAUCAAAUAAGUGCACUAUGAUUGGAACUCAUGAAGAGCAUCGAGUAGUUUAAAGAGUCCCAUAACGCACACUUGUUGCUGCGCAUUAUUAUGUUACGUCACUUUUUUCCCAUGUUUCAACUUUUGGCAACUGAAUCCACGUUUUGGAACUAAUUUAUGUCAUAUAGGCUACAUUUGGAUUUUUUAAAAUAUCUACCCUGACCUGAAUUCGUAAAUGUUCAUUUUUAAUGAUUAAAAUGGUGGAUAGAGGCUACAAUUAAUAUCAGAGUUUAGAAAUGUUGUUUUUUGCUUAAAUAUAAUUUAUUAUUAUUAUUUUCAACUUGCAGUGGGGCUACUUUUUAUUUCCUACUGAUGUAUUAUAACUAACGACGGUGUUUAAAUAACGUUCCUAACCCCAAGUUCAAUUAGAUGCAAUGUGUAUAAAAUAUCAAUUAAUAUUACACAUUUUAAAUGGAGUAAUUACAUAUGUAAUUUAAGAGGUGCUUUGCAGAAAAGAGAAAGUUUGUGUAUCUUCUUUUCACUUAAAUCUCAUCCUCCAACUGCUUGCUCAUUAUGGUGUGAAAGGAAAGAGGGGAGGGGGGGGGGAUACUUCAAAUCGCCUUUUAUCCGCUACCUUUUCCCCUUCUCUGUUUCUUCCUGUAAGGAUCAGCAAGUUUCAAAAGGCAUCAUCCAAUCGACUGAGUGGAAACUGACCACUGGUCACAAAUAGUGCAGCACGGACAUUUAACACCACAUGCAGCAUUUAAUAGGCGUCGCCAACACCGGGGGCUGCCUAUUAGGAGUGCAACUAUCUGUAAUAAGCCCAAAUACAAAUAAAUUAUGCAAGACUCACGACCCGAUCAGUGCAUGUCAUAUCCUUUUUAAUCUCAUAUAAACCGAGUUUGUCUCGAGGCAUGACGUUUUUUUUUAAUUCUCUAUAUAGCAUCCCUAACUAAAGCGGGGGAUGGGGGAAUGUAAUUGAGGACAAUUAUAACAACGCUUCUAUCAAUUAGGUUUGAGGUUGGCUGUAAGUUAGUGGGACAGUCCGUUUACGCUGAGGCCAAUCGCUUGAUUGUGCACUAACCCUCAUAUCUUUACAGCCAUGCGUGCUAAUGACUUCCCAGACUGGCCAUGCCCGCUCGUGCGCAUGCACGUCACAGCGGUUAGUGCAAACACCGCAAAAGAAAAACACAAACUUUGUCCUGCACUGACACAUAAAUUGACACGUCAAGGUGGGAAAACAAGUCGAACGUGCAAAAGAACCUAGAAGGGGAAAACGUAGUCGUAAUUAAUUUGACUCCGUUUAUCCUGAUCAUUCUCGCAGACCCCUAAAAAAAAAAAAAGGCAAAUGCGUGGGUGCGUGCCGUGAAGGCAUCUCGCCCUCCAAGUAAUUUAUUUUAAGGGAAGCGGGAGGGCAAAGGUGGAAUUCUUAAGAAAUUCAACAAGGAUAAGGGAGCUUUAGGAAUUCUGCACGCAGAUUACCUUUCAUCCCAUCCACAUAUUAGCCGACAACACACAGUAGAAAUAUAGCUCCACAAAAAAGGUCCAGAUUAGUCCCAUGCGUGCACACUGAGGAAGAGCGUCGUAAUUUGAAGGAGAAAAUGGAACAGUCGGUUAUUUGGGAAGUAGGGCGGGGGGAUUGUCCAGAGAACACCUAAAUGGCAAAUAAAUGCAUGACAACCUAAAAGAUCCAUUUGAAUUGGUGAUUGAGUUGAACAAUGGGGAUGAGACUUCAUCAACAAUCCUAGUUUUUGCAUUGCUGUUGAAAAUUCUGCUUACUAACGACAUCAAGCUCCCCCCCUCUCAUUUACCCACCAAAACCAACACACAGCAGGAGCUUAAUUAGAAAUGUAGUGUAGCUCAACCAUGAGUGUGAUGGAGCUCAGACUGAUGACAAGUCUUGUUCACGGCACAGAGAAAUUGAUUAUGUUUUUUUUAAACCACACUAGGCGAUUACUAACAAAGCAAUUGCAGAAUAUGUGCAUGAUAUCAAUACAUGUAUCAAUAUUAGCUUACAGUUAAACACUAAUGAACUGUCAACAUUAAUAAUAAUAAUUAUAAAUAAUAAUAUACUGACAAUGAUAAUCUGGCCCCGUAUUUAUUUAUUUAUUUAUUUAUUUAUUUAUUUAUUUAUUUAUUUAUUCAUUCAUUAUAUCCAGACCGCCUCAAAAAGUCACCAAAAUAUUAGAAACAGCUCUAAGCAGUUUUACUCUAAGCAAUAGAUUUACUACAAUUAUUUUAUGAUGUCAGUGUACAGCGUUAUUAUUAUUGUCAAGGAUGAAUUUUGGACUGCAUUAGCUGGUCCCAUGCUUCAGUAUUACUUUGACAUUUGAGGCAACCAGUGUGUAAAGUUUUCAUAAGCGGUUCAAAAUUGACGAGAUUAGCAUUUGAACAAAGAGAUGACUGUCCUCCAUCUUGUGUCAUACAAGAUGACAAAGGUGUCCCGGGUGAUUUUGUGUGUAGCCUCGGAAAGGUGUGCGGAGGCACGUGUGUAAAAGACAGUGACGUGAAGGUGGUCUGCCUGUGUUUAGUGUCCAAAGCUGGCAGAUUGUGACCUUAUCAAUGUGAAACUCUUAAGAUAAAUUAUUCAUAGCACCUGUUUGAUGUGUCUGGCCAAAGAAUGACAAUUUCAAAUGCAACUCAACACAAGGGGCUGCUUUAUAUUUUUGGCCGAGCCAACCAGGUGGGAAGCUGCCGUCAGAACAAACGUUGAAUUAAAAAUCUAUUUUACAGGCUACAUGUAUCGAAACGACGCGCCGGUGUUUCACAUUGUGACUGUGUGUUGUGUCUGCUCGCAGGCGGUGAGCAACAUGGCUGCCCGGUGUUCUGAAGCACGGCGGGAUGUGUCAGUGUGGUGCAAGGACUGACACGGGGGCGAGAUGCACUUUAUGGCUACCAAGUUAAGCGCUAGUGGCAAAGUGGGUCUGUAUUUACACAGCCAGCACAUAUCACAUUUUUGUAUUGCAUUAAGAUGAUAAAGCUCAUCUUUGAUUGACAGUCAAAGACGUUGUCAUUUAUUAAAAUGUUUCUUAUUGUGCUUGUUUUGACAUAGCUGUUUAUAAUAUGUUUUUUGUUACUCACAAGCACAAUAAAAACAUCAAAUGAACACUCCUCCGACAAUGUCAGUCAUAAUUGAGCGUUAUUAAUACAAUAAUGAAAAAAUACAACUUAUUUUUUCCAGGUUGAUUCCAUUACGAGUCCUCAAGUCUUGAAUAGCCGCCGAUACCCACAAUAAGUACUGAUACUAAGUACGAGUAAAAACAAGGGCCGAUAAUGUUCAAGGAUAUUAUAUAUCCCCAAAUAGUAAUUUUCUAGUCUUCUAAUUUCUUGUUCUUUUUUGUAAAAAUGGCCACAAGCAUAUUGGCCAAUGUCACGAAUACUGAUAUGUUCAACUAAACUGGUAUCUGUAGUGAUAGCUGGUAUCGGUACUCACACAAUUGCUGGUAGUAAUGGUGGGCAUAGUCGGGAUGAGACAACACAUUGCACUCGUUUGAGAAAAAAUAUCAGAAUAUAUUAUCUUGCUAAACUAAUGGGAUGUGCACUUGAGACAGAAUCUUGUGAGAUUAAUGAAGGUGAAACAUUCUCACAGCAAUCCAUGUAUGUUUACUUUAUCUCUCUGUCUCUCUUGCUCUAUUUCUCUAUGCCGUCAGCUUUUCUCAGAUGUUCCCCGCGACCUUCGACCUCAGAGUCGGGGGGGGGGGUCAAGCCCUGACAAAUGGGAUGGCCGAGUUCUGACCAGAACCGCCAACAUUCCACAACAAUCUCGCGUCCUCCUCCACUCCCCUCAUAUCCGUGAUGUGUCACCGGGCACCCCCCCGCCCUUUUAGACUCAACGUCUGCCAUGACUUGGGUAAAGUUCUCAUUAGACAAACAUAGUCGAUUGAGUGUGCUGUGGGAAUCUUUAAACACAUACAUUUGGAAUUAAGAAUUACAACAUGAGCUAAAAUUUAAUUUCCCAUAAACAUCUCGCUUGUUUAGACAAGGGAACAAAAAACAUCUAGCCAAUAUUACGACCUCGUGUGUGUGUGAGAGAGAGAGAGAAAAGCUUGUCAGUGGUGUCAAGGAUGAGAAAUGUUGCAGUGUGCUUUUUACACACACUGCUGGCUCUAGCAUUUCCGGCAACAUUUCUCACUCUGCCUCCCUCACACCAUCCACUCUGCUGCAAUAUCCCCACGUUUUUCUAUCCUUUCACAUCACCCCCCCCCCUUCCUCUCCACCCCCGUCCACUUCCCUCCCCCCUCUCUUUCUUUCUUCUGGCCAUUCUGUCUCCUUUUACUACUCACGUCUCCUGCCCCAACCUCACCCAAUGUCAACCUCUCUUUUAUUCCACCUCUCAUUCAGUCACUUCUCCUCUCUCCCUCUGGUCAUCUUCCUCCUCGUUAUAUUCUGGGAUCUUCAAACACCUGCAACUGUUUAAAAGGGUAUAAGGAAUGUCGUUCUGUACGGGGAAGCUAGUUAAGGUAAGUGGCACGUCCUAAUGAUGGGGCAAAUAAUGAUUGUGUUUGUUUACGAACGUUCCUUAUAGUAUGACCCCGGCUUCCUAAAUGUCAACCGUCUUCCCCUCCGAGCUCAGCGCACAGCUAUAAAAACACAAAAAAGUCAUUGUGGAUGCGAGUCAGUAAAAGAAGCUUCUGUAAUAAUAUACAGUGGUUGCACCACAAGCCAAAUAAAAAUAUCAAUCUCAUAA